GCUGGUGUAGCUCAGUUGGUAGAGCUACUGCCUUGUAAGCAGUAGGUCGGCGGUUCAAGUCCGUUCACCAGCU
rfam:Campylobacter fetus subsp. fetus strain RC20 genome assembly, contig: ERS672216SCcontig000005